AUGGUGCGUAGAAGUGACAGCGUCCUCGGCCUUUUCUCAAUCAUAAUGGCUAGAAACUGCUUUGAAAAUGAAAGCACUCCUCUUGUGCAAGUGAUUCAACAGAUGCUUUAUGGUCAGACACCGCAUCACUGGUGUCCUCCCAGAGAGGUCACUGGCCCCUCUGUGACGACAGGGGUUGACGUCACACUGAGGAGUGGAGUCAGUGGGAACACAUUGACCACGGUGCCUCCUGCAGAGACCAUGCUCCCCACAUGAGCAUGCAUGAAUGAGUGAAUGAAUGAUGGCGAUACAAGUUUUUUGGGCUGAAUUCUGUCUCGCCCUGGGGUUCCUGUGCUGCAGACUUAAGCGCCAGUAUCCCUGAAUGUGACUGUAUUGGAAGACAGGGAUUUUUUUUUUUUUUGACAGACAGAGUGGACAGUGAGAGAGACAGAAAGGUCUUCCUUUUGCCGUUGGUUCACCCUCCAAUGGCCGCCGCGGCCGGCGCACUGCGGCCGGCGCACCGCGCUGAUCCGAUGGCAGGAGCCAGGAGCCAGGAGCCAGGUGCUUUUCCUGGUCUCCCAUGCAGGUGCAGGGCCCAAGCACCUGGGCCAUCCUCCACUGCACUCCCUGGCCACAGCAGAGGGCUGGCCUGGAAGAGGGGCCACCGGGACAGAAUCCGGCGGCCCGACCGGGACUAGAACCCGGUGUGCUGGCGCUGCUAGGCGGAGGAUUAGCCUAGUGAGCCGUGGCGCCGGCCAGAAGACAGGGAUUUUAAAGAAGCAAGUAUGUUCUAAUGAGACCAGUAGAGUGAGCCUUAGUCUACUACGACCAGGGUGCUCAUGAGAUUGGAAAACAGUUUCUGUUGAAAUCUUUACUUAAUGUAUACUAAACUUAUCUUCUGUAUAUAAAGAAAAUUGAAAAUGAAUCUUGAUAAGAAUGGAAGGGGAGAGAGAGCGGGAAAGGGGAGGGUUGUGGGUGGGAGGGAAGUCAUUGGGGUGGGGGGAGCCAAUGUAAUCCAUAAGCUGUACUUUGGAAAUCUAUAUUCAUUAAAUAAAAGUAAAAAAAAAAAACA
rnacentral:lncRNA from 1 species